CAAUGUUGUAUCUCUCGUCCCAUUGCUGGUCACAAGCAAGUCUUAAAAAGCAAACAAACUGAAAGAAACUCAUGCAAACCUUAUCACAAUAAUAUUUUAAAUAACUGCGAGAAAUAUGUUCGUGAUGAAAUAACCGAUAAGAUCGUGACCGUGUGGGUCACUUUAGUCGAGUAUCGCAGUGCUAUGGUAAGAGUAAGACAGAACUUGGCGAAUGGUAAAUGUGGAUCCCCUUUAUCCAACUGCUGCUGGAUCAGAGUGAGCGUCAACAUCUUUUAUAUAAAACCCCUGUUGCUUCUCGCUGAAUGUAUUCGCUUGAAACCAAGUUGAGAACUUGCGGUUAGUGCAUCAACAUACUCAGUAAUUAAUUCCACCAAGUUUGGUAGCAGAUUAGAGAUGGCCUUGUUUAACCUGUUAAAAGUUAUGUGGAUCACCGCGGCUUUAAUAACAAUGGCAGCAGUUUCGUCCGGGUUAUCUUUGCACAAGCUCUCCGCAAGCCUCAGUAACGUGCGAAAUUUGGAUGAACAAAUACGACUCGCAUACAAACCGGAAGCUGAAGAAGCUUUUCGUCCGGGGAGGUUUUUGGUAGAUAAUUCCAGCGACGAUGAUUUCAUCAGAGAAGACAGAACAAUAAAAUUUCCAAAGCUAAUGCGUACGACGACUUCUUAACCUGAUUCCGACUGACUGGUAAAAGUGCGGGAAUAACCAUGCGUUGUAUCGAUAAACGACCAGCGGAGAAAUCCGCAAUUGUCUGGUGAAUCAUGAGUGACCUGUUGGGUUACUUAAUUUUGUGUUGUUUAUUGUGUAAUAAUAUUUAUUUUAUUUA